AAAAUAUGGUUUUGAAAAUGCAAAGUCCUGUGCCUCCACAGGGAGGCUACAAUGUUAUUUCACAAGAACUAGAUGGGUUUGAUAGGCAUCUAAUUAGACAAAAGCAUUACAUGGCUUCCAAUGCAGUUUAUUACAAAUGAGGAACUACCGUCAUGACAAACCACAUAGAAAGUCAAGCUUUGUCUGUUUGUAGAUUAGGAAAGUUUGUUGUAAAUUUAGCCAAAAAAAAAAAAAAAAAGAAAAAAAAAAAAAAAGUUAUGCUCCGUGAUUGAAUUACAUUUCCUUCUAUGAUGUGCAUUUCAAGUUUAAACGUGGUGGAGUAUUAGUGAUUUCGGUUUCCUAAAUCAUUUAGAAGUGGAUUAAUCAACAGUUCAAAUUUAAAUAUUAAUGUUUGUUAAUAAAUGUUACAUAAAAAAAAAA